CUAAUACCUGGUUGGGAUGACGGUACCCAAAGAAUAAGCACCGGCUAACUUCGUGCCAGCAGCCGCGGUAAUACGAAGGGUGCAAGCGUUACUCGGAAUUACUGGGCGUAAAGCGUGCGUAGGUGGUCGUUUAAGUCCGUUGUGAAAGCCCUGGGCUCAACCUGGGAACUGCAGUGGAUACUGGGCGACUAGAGUGUGGUAGAGGGUAGCGGAAUUCCUGGUGUAGCAGUGAAAUGCGUAGAGAUCAGGAGGAACAUCCAUGGCGAAGGCAGCUACCUGGACCAACACUGACACUGAGGCACGAAAGCGUGGGGAGCAAACAGGAUUAGAUACCCU
rnacentral:rRNA from 1 species